UUCAGAGUUAUACAGUUAGAUGAGAACAUGUCUCUUAAAAGCUGUAAUCCUCAGAAGUCAAGAAUGUUGGAAAUGUCUGACCUGAUUUGUGCCCACAUUAGGAAGAAGAAUGUGCCCUUUUAAUAACACUACUUUCUUUUGGAAAUUGUUUAUCCUCCAACAGGAAGAGACGUAUCUUUAAGUUAAAUUAAAAAGUGGAUGUGUACAGAUAUUUAUGUACAGCUAAAAGCUGUUCUUGUGCAGCUGAAGAGAUGGAGAAACAAUUUUAUCCAGCCAGAGGCCAGGAUUCAGUUCUUUCCUGGACAUUAGUCUGAGAUUUUUUAGCUGGUUUCACUAGUCCAUGUACACAGCUGCUAUGCUAAAAGGAAUAGAGUUCAUAUAUCUCAGCAGCUUUAUAAGGAGGACAGUUGAACAUCACUGACAGUGU